rnacentral:rRNA from 1 species
AACGAACGCUGGCGGCAGGCUUAAUACAUGCAAGUCGAACGGGCGCGAGCAAUCGCGUCAGUGGCAGACGGGUGAGUAACACGUGGGAACCUUCCUCGUUGUACGGAACAACUCAGGGAAACUUGAGCUAAUACCGUAUAAGUCCGAGAGGAGAAAGAUUUAUCGCAAUGAGACGGGCCCGCGUCGGAUUAGGUAGUUGGUGAGGUAACGGCUCACCAAGCCGACGAUCCGUAGCUGANCUGAGAGGAUGAUCAGCCACACUGGGACUGAGACACGGCCCAGACUCCUACGGGAGGCAGCAGUAGGGAAUCUUGGACAAUGGGCGCAAGCCUGAUCCAGCC